UAUUGCACUCGUCCUGGCCU
rnacentral:miRNA from 1 species